UAGAAAAUUAUUUAUUACAUUCACUAAAUAUUCAAUUGAUUAGCAUCAGGAAAAACAAACCACUAAAUUGAAUCAGUCAAAAAUAAAUUUCCAUUCUAAACCUUAAAAUUAAUACUCCUAUUAAAACUAAAACAAUACAAGACAUCAAGAGGCCAAAGCGAAACCAAACAGAAAAUAAUGAAAUUCUAUUGUGUAUUUAUAUCACAAAUAGUACCAAUAGUACUGCGAUCCAGGAGGAAUUGUAAGCCCAAAGUGAGAUUAACCCAAUCGAGCGAGAGAGAGAGUUAUUCAAUCGAGCGAGAGAGUGAUUCCAAUCGACCGAGAUGAGCAGAGCAGCCGUUUGUUUAUGUUAGAG
rnacentral:lncRNA from 1 species